rnacentral:rRNA from 1 species
UACAGAGGGGGCAAGCGUUGUUCGGAAUUACUGGGCGUAAAGGGCGCGUAGGCGGCCUUCUAAGUCGAACGUGAAAUCCCCGGGCUCAACCCGGGAACUGCGUCCGAUACUGGAAGGCUUGAAUCCGGGAGAGGGAUGUGGAAUUCCGAGUGUAGAGGUGAAAUUCGUAGAUAUUCGGAAGAACACCAGUGGCGAAGGCGACUUACUGGACGACUGUUGACGCUGAGGUGCGAAAGCGUGGGGAGCAAACAGG